rnacentral:rRNA from 1 species
GAUGAACGCUAGCUACAGGCUUAACACAUGCAAGUCGAGGGGAAACGACAUCGAAAGCUUGCUUUUGAUGGGCGUCGACCGGCGCACGGGUGAGUAACGCGUAUCCAACCUGCCCAUCACUUGGGAAUAACCUUGCGAAAGUAAGACUAAUACCCAAUGACAUCCCACGAAGACAUCUGAAUGGGAUGAAAGAUUUAUCGGUGAUGGAUGGGGAUGCGUCUGAUUAGCUUGUUGGCGGGGUAACGGCCCACCAAGGCAACGAUCAGUAGGGGUUCUGAGAGGAAGGUCCCCCACAUUGGAACUGAGACCCGGUCCAAACUCCUACGGGAGGCAGCAGUGCGGGAUAUUGGUCAAUGGGCGAGAGCCUGAACCAGCCAAGUAGCGUGCAGGAUGACGGCCCUAUGGGUUGUAACCUGCUUUUAUAAGGGAAUAAAGUGGGUCUCGUGAGACUUUUUGCAUGUACCUUAUGAAUAAGGACCGGCUAAUUCCGUG